CCGUUACAGGCUAGACCGCUUGAAGUGCUUUGGGAUAGAAUUUAACAUAGAAUUUAAUAUGUUAAAUUCUAUCUUAAAGUGCUUUGGGCGGCUAGUCUGUAACGGGUAUAAGACAAUCUGUCUCCGCUCUAGGGAAUAUUCGCUCCACAAUAAUUACUUUUUAAAUGUUAUUGCUUGUAACCUUUUUUUUUUAAUCCAUCCUCAUACUAAAAGUUUUUCGUCAAGAUUCAGUUAUAAACUAAUGAGUGUAAAUUUCAUUUACAAUCAAAUUGUUUGGUGAGUCACUUCAAAUGUUCUUGUGGGUCACUCAUGACCCAUGGGUCAUAGGUUGCUGACUCCUGGUAUAAUGGGCAAAGAUUUACAUAUGAAAAAAUAUAUUGUACAAACUUAGCAACUGCAGUUUUUAGUAAAUUUAAUAUAUAAAUUUUAAAAAUGCUAAAUUUCAAAUAAAAUGUUAAUAUAGAAUUUAUUAAUUUUCAUACACUAUUAUUUUAUCAUUUCUGC
rnacentral:lncRNA from 1 species